rnacentral:tRNA from 1 species
CCAUAGCUCAGUUGGUUAGAGCACCUGACUCAUAAUCAGGGGGUCCUAGGUUCAAGCCCUA